rnacentral:lncRNA from 1 species
UGCACUGUGCAAUGCCAUGCAGUGCUGCACGGUGCAAUGCUGUGCCAUGCUGCAUUGUGCAAUGCCACCAAUGCACGGUGCAAUGCUGUGCCAUGUUGCUCUGUGCAAUGCACAUGCAGUGCUGCACGGUGCAAUGCCACACCGUGCUGUGCUGUGCAGUGCUGUGCUCUGCUGUGAUGUGCAAUGCCACACGGCACUGUGGAGUGCAACGCUGUGCCUUGCUGCAUUGUGCAAGGCUGUGCUGUGCCAUGCAAUGCUGUGCCGUGCUGCACUGUGCAAUGCCACACAGCGCUGUGAUGUGCAAUGCCAUGCAGUGCUGCACGGUGCAAUGCUGUGCCAUGUUGCUCAGUGCAAUGCCACACUGUGCUGUGGUGUGCAAUGCUGUGCCAUGCUGCAUUGUGCAAAGAUGUGCUGUGCCAUGCCUUGCAAUGCUGUGUUGUGCUGCACUGUGCAAUGCCACACAGCGCUGCAUGGUGCAAUGCUGUGCCAUGUUACAUUGUGCAAUUCUGUGCCAUGCUGUGACAAUAGCACACCGCGCCGUGCUGUUUUGUGCAGUGCCACACCGUGCUGCACAGUGCAGUGCCACACAGCGCUGUGAUGUGCAAUGCUGUGCUGUGUUGCACUGUGCAAUGGCAUGCAGUGCUGCACGGUGCAAGGCUGAACCACACUGCACCGUGCUGUGCCAUGCUGCACUGUGCAAUGCUGUGCUGUGCUAUGACAAUGCCACACCACACUGUGCAGUUCUGUGCAGUGCCACACCGUGCUGCACUGUGCAAUGCCACACAGCGCUGUGAUGUGCAAUGCUGUGCUGUGUUGCACUGUGCAGUGGCAUGCAGUGCUGCACGGUGCAAUGCUGUGCCAUGUUGCUCAGUGCAAUGCACAUGCAGUGCUGCACGGUGCAAUGCCACACCGUGCUGUGCUGUGCAGUGCUGUGCUCUGCUGUGAUGUGCAAGGCCACACGGCACUGUGGAGUGCAACGCUGUGGCGUGCUGCACUGUGCAAAGCUGUGCUGGGGUGCAUUGUGC